GAAUAUUGGACAAUGGGCGAAAGCCUGAUCCAGCCAUGCCGCGUGGGUGAAGAAGGCCUUCGGGUUGUAAAGCCCUUUUGUUGGGGGAGAAAUCCUGCUGGCUAAUACCCGGCGGGGCUGCCGGUACCCAACGAAUAUGCACCGGCUAACUUCGUGCCAGCAGCCGCGGUGAUACGAAGGGUGCAAGCGUUACUCGGAAGUACUGGGCGUAAAGCGGGAGGAGGUGGUGGCUUAAGUGCGUUGUGAAAGCCCUGGGCUCAACCUGGGAAUUGCAGUGGAUACUGGGUCACUAGAGUGUGGUAGAGGGUGGAGGAAUUCCCGGUGUAGCAGUGAAAUGCGUAGAGAUCGGGAGGAACACCCGUGGCGAAGGCGGCCACCUGGGCCAACACUGACACUGAGGCACGAAAGCGUGGGGAGCAAACAG
rnacentral:rRNA from 1 species